rnacentral:rRNA from 1 species
UACCAAGGCGACGAUCCAUAGCUGGUCUGAGAGGAUGAUCAGCCACACUGGGACUGAGACACGGCCCUUACUCCUACGGGAGGCAGCAGUGGGGAAUAUUGGACAAUGGGCGCAAGCCUGAUCCAGCCAUGCCGCGUGGAUGAUGAAGGCCCUAGGGUUGUAAAGUCCUUUUAACGGGGAAGAUAAUGACGGUACCCGUAGAAUAAGCCCCGGCUAACUUCGUGCCAGCAGCCGCGGUAAUA